rnacentral:rRNA from 1 species
AUUGAACGCUGGCGGAAUGCUUUACACAUGCAAGUCGAACGGUAGAGGGGGCAACCCCUCGAGAGUGGCGAACGGGUGAGUAAUAUAUCGGAACGUGCCCAGUCGUGGGGGAUAACGUAGCGAAAGUUACGCUAAUACCGCAUACGAUCUAAGGAUGAAAGCGGGGGAUCGCAAGACCUCGCGCGAUUGGAGCGGCCGAUAUCAGAUUAGGUAGUUGGUGGGGUAAAGGCUCACCAAGCCAACGAUCUGUAGCUGGUCUGAGAGGACGACCAGCCACACUGGAACUGAGACACAGUCCAGACUCCUACGGGAGGCAGCAGUGGGGAAUUUUGGACAAUGGACGAAAGUCUGAUCCAGCCAUUCCGCGUGCAGGAUGAAGGCCCUCGGGUUGUAAACUGCUUUUGUACGGAACGAAAAGGUCUCUCUUAAUACGGGGGACUCAUGACGGUACCGUAAGCAUAAGCACCGGCUAACUACGUGCCAGCCGCCGCCGUAA